rnacentral:lncRNA from 1 species
UUUUGUGCAAUUCUCUAAAAGAAGGUGCCAAAGCUUUUUGACUGCUGCAGGUAACUGAAACAAGCCUAGACUUUUUUUUUCUUUUUUAAUGAAAUUAACAGAGGACUUUCAAGUGUUUUUAAAUUUGAAGGUGAUUCAAAGUUACGGAUUUAUUUAUUGGAGACACUAGACAUUCAGUGAACUGGGGCUGUGGAGAUGGAGGGCCUAGCGCUAUCAAAGAUGUUGAAAGCUUUGGUGUU